rnacentral:rRNA from 1 species
UUCGGGGGUACUCGAGUGGCGAACGGGUGAGUAACACGUGGGCAAUCUGCCCUGCACUUCGGGAUAAGCCUGGGAAACUGGGUCUAAUACCGGAUAGGACCUUUAGACGCAUGUCUUUUGGUGGAAAGCUUUUGCGGUGUGGGAUGGGCCCGCGGCCUAUCAGCUUGUUGGUGGGGUGACGGCCUACCAAGGCGACGACGGGUAGCCGGCCUGAGAGGGUGUCCGGCCACACUGGGACUGAGAUACGGCCCAGNCUCCUACGGGAGGCAGCAGUGGGGAAUAUUGCACAAUGGGCGCAAGCCUGAUGCAGCGACGCCGCGUGGGGGAUGACGGCCUUCGGGUUGUAAACCUCUUUCACCAUCGACGAAGGUUCGGGUUUUCUCGGAUUGACGGUGAGUGGAGAAGAAGCACCGGCCAACUACGUGCCAGCAGCCGCGGUAAUACGUAGGGUGCGAGCGUUGUCCGGAAUUACUGGGCGUAAAGAGCUCGUAGGUGGUUUGUCGCGUUGUUCGUGAAAUCUCACGGCUUAACUGUGAGCGUGCGGGCGAUACGGGCAGACUAGAGUACUGCAGGGGAGACUGGAAUUCCUGGUGUAGCGGUGGAAUGCGCAGAUAUCAGGAGGAACACCGGUGGCGAAGGCGGGUCUCUGGGCAGUAACUGACGCUGAGGAGCGAAAGCGUGGGGAGCGAACAGGAUUAGAUACCCUGGUAGUCCACGCCGUAAACGGUGGGUACUAGGUGUGGGUUUCCUUCCUUGGGAUCCGUGCCGUAGCUAACGCAUUAAGUACCCCGCCUGGGGAGUACGGCCGCAAGGCUAAAACUCAAAGGAAUUGACGGGGGCCCGCACAAGCGGCGAAGCAUGUGGAUUAAUUCGAUGCAACGCGAAGAACCUUACCUGGGUUUGACAUGCACAGGACGCGUCUAGAGAUAGGCGUUCCCUUGUGGCCUGUGUGCAGGUGGUGCAUGGCUGUCGUCAGCUCGUGUCGUGAGAUGUUGGGUUAAGUCCCGCAACGAGCGCAACCCUUGUCUCAUGUUGCCAGCGGGUAAUGCCGGGGACUCGUGAGAGACUGCCGGGGUCAACUCGGAGGAAGGUGGGGAUGACGUCAAGUCAUCAUGCCCCUUAUGUCCAGGGCUUCACACAUGCUACAAUGGCCGGUACAAAGGGCUGCGAUGCCGCAAGGUUAAGCGAAUCCUUUUAAAGCCGGUCUCAGUUCGGAUUGGGGUCUGCAACUCGACCCCAUGAAGUCGGAGUCGCUAGUAAUCGCAGAUCAGCAACGCUGCGGUGAAUACG